rnacentral:misc_RNA from 1 species
CCGAAUUGUCAACAAGAGUUGUUGCUGGUCCUCAAACGGGGGCAUGUGCACGUUCUGUUCACACAUCCACUCACACCCUGUGCACCCUCUGUAGUUCUAUGGUUGGGGGGCCUGCCCUCCUGCUGUGGUUCUGCAUCUUUACACACACACUGUAACAAAGUCUCAUGGAAUGCAUGUCGCGUUUAACGCAAUACAAUA